rnacentral:misc_RNA from 1 species
CGAAGGGCAGGAAACUUCUACAGCUAGCUUAUAGCUGGCAGCUGCUUAUUGUUGACUUCUGGCUAGCUAAGUCAAUGCCCAAGUACUGUUUAACUUUUAGGAGGAAGCUUCCAUCAGUGGAAGAGCGACUAGUCUUCUUGUUUAUUAAUUCCUUCCCUUAACUCUCCAGGCUCUAAGCUCUCCGACGAGAAAUUCUUGGGAGGAAGUAGGUUCUAUGUCUGACGUUACUCUGAAUGCGGAAUCGGUGGAGUCAACUCAGAACUCGGUACCGAAGGAGGGGGAAAGGUUAGGAAACUCCGAUUCAUCAAUCGUCGGUCUGCUCAGACAUGCUGCUAAUGACAAUAAUAAGGUUGUUGAUGACAUAGUAGAAGUAGGGGGUGGCGGGAAUGGAAUUGAAAAUGAAAACGACGCAGCGGUGACUAAUGAACUUUCUCUGGGAAGCAAUGGAAGGGAAGUGGGCAAGGAUUUUGGGAAUUAUCAGGUGCAAGCAGGGCAAGAGAAUCUCUCGUUUGAAAUUGGACAGGAGAUUAGCGGCGGAGAGGUACAGGGAAAUACCAGGAGGAGGAGGGGACCUAGGUCUAAGAGCUCACAGAACAGAGGAGUUACCUUCUACAGAAGGACUGAGAGAUGGGAAUCUCAUAGCUGGGAUGAAGGGAAACUAGUCCACCUAGGUGAAUUCGAUACUGCCCAUGCUGCAGCAGCCAGAGCCUAUGAUCGAACAUCUAUCAAAUUCAAGGGUGUUGAAGCUGACAUCAAUUUUAGCUUAAGUGAUUCUGAGACGGAUCUGGUGCAGGUAGGAUAAGUGGGAAGAAGAUAAUAGAAGUAAAUUCAAUUGGAAGAAGUGAGGAUAUAGUGAUAGAAAUAAAUUCAAUGUGUUUCAAAUUUUGGGAGUAAUUGGGUACUUUUUUUUUAAGAUCAAUGUGCAGAUGAAGAAUUUGACAAAGGAAGAACACAUAUUCCGCAGACCAAGCACUCGUUUCUCAAGAGGAAGCCCCUUUGGCAAUAGCCACAGGGAAAGUGAAGAGCAUAUCCAGCCCCACUCAGGCUCUUAUGACGUGCACAGCAGGGGUUCAAGGGUAUUUGAUCUAAAAAAAAAAUUCAUAUUUCUUUUUGAAUGUUUUUCAUUUUCUUAUACUACUGCAAAAUUUUUGGUUUUGUUUUCGUUUCAUUGCAAGUUUAAUGCUAACCUUUUCUGUCAUAAAAUCUCUAUAUUCUAAAUAUUUGUUGGCGGCCCUUCUCUGGAUAACGGUCAAACUGAGGACAAUGAAAUCCAGUCUUGUCUUGCUUCCCCUGCACCUCAUUCACCUGAGACUGAUCAUUUCGGCUGCAUGGAUGUUGAACAUGGCAAUGGCAUUUGCAGGACAUUCUGCGGAACAGAGAGUUUGAAAAGAAAGGUCAAAAUUGAAAUCAAAAUAUUAUAUUUAAUUUGAAGUUAAUUAGCAACUAUAGUUUCUUGCAUGAUUGCUAAUUUUUCUCUAGUCUUUUAACACUCAUCAAUUGUUUCUUUUUCUUCUAUGAAGUUUUUCAAGUGGUUCUUUGCUAUUGCCAACUUCAUUGUUGAGCUCUUGUCAAUAGUUUUUGAACAGCUUUCCUCUCAACAUUACUCUCUUUUUCUGCCUAUAUGCAUGGGGAUGUCCUUCCUAGCUCUGUUUAUCUGCACCUUCGAGCUUGUGUACAAGGCUCAGAAAGAACGAGCUACUUGGCGGUGGCGUGGCACAAUACCUUGGUUUUAUUAUCCUUCUCAAAGCGGCAUUCGUCUUGGUUCUGUCAUGGACAUUGCUGCAUUGGUUUGUGCAUUUGGUCAAUGCAUUCUCACAAUAGUUGGUUAUUGUUUGUUCCUUAGGAAUGGUAAUAACCCAAUCAAAAUAUCCAUUUGGGCUAGCGUCUUUGCCUCUUGUCAGUUGUGUUCCAAGUUCUGUGGAGAAUUCAAACAUGAAGUUCAUGGGCAAGACACUUUACCUGUGCUCAAUGCACCAAGCCUGUGUCACUGAUCUAUAGUCCCGCCAUGUGCUACGCUUAUCAUCGCCGCCUUCAACAUUAGGAGUGACUUCUUUUGAUGAGCAGCUGUACCGGUUGCAUCUUAACCUGGAAAACUCGAUGUUUUUCAUUUGAGGUAUCUCGUGUUAGUCAGUGGUUAUUUGGAAUUAUGCCUAGUGCAGUAUUCUGUUUGAAGCUGCUAAGACACAGAGUACUCAGUAAUAGAAAUUACUUGUAUUAUCCAGUAUUCUCUUUGAACCAAUAAUAUAAAUUUCAUUUUCACUUGUAUUUUGAUGCUGCUUGGGUUCAGUCCAAAGCUUAGUGGAUGAUUUCUUUGUGAUUUCUGCUGAUCCUCAUUGCCCUCGGGUUGUUGGUCCACCUUGCACUAGUUCCUGGCAGCCUCCUCAUCAAUUGGAUUGGAUCAAAAUGAAACUGUGAUGCUUGUUUGAAUACUCCUGGGCAAAUUGGUUUCAGUGUAGUGUAUAGAAAUGAGGCUGGUGAGGUUCUGGCAUAUCCAUCUAAAUGUGCUGUUGGAGAAUGGUUGCCGGAAAUUGCUGAAGCUAUGUCUAUUGCUGCUGUGGCAGAGCCACAACACAAAAAGAAAACAGAGGAAAGGGCAGAGAAAAUAGAAGAAAGGGGAGAAAAAAGGAAGAAGAUUAGAGAAAGAAGAGAGAGAGAGAAGAGAAAUAGAGAAAGAGAGUGAA